UACGUAGGGGGCAAGCGUUACCCGGAUUUACUGGGUGUAAAGGGGGCGCAGACGGCAGCGCAAGCCAGGAGUGAAAGCCCGGGGCCCAACCCCGGGACUGCUCUUGGAACUGCGCGGCUGGAGUGCAGGAGGGGCAGGCGGAAUUCCUGGUGUAGCGGUGAAAUGCGUAGAUAUCAGGAGGAACACCGGUGGCGAAGGCGGCCUGCUGGACUGCGACUGACGUUGAGGCCCGAAAGCGUGGGGAGCAAACAGG
rnacentral:rRNA from 1 species